UGAUGUGAGGGAGAUCUGGCUCUGACAGCUGUCACCCCAUUGAUUGCCAGGUUCAUUCAGCUGAUCUGGCUAGGCAGGUAUCCCCUCCCUCCCUCACAGCUCCAUGUGCCUCCCUACCAAAGCUGCAAUUUCCAUUGAAGAGGAUGGCCUUUCCCAAGAAGAGCCUCACGGUUCUUUGGUUGAGGGUGUACAAGUAGCUGCAUUUCCCUGCUAGAACCUCCAAAGAAGUUCUCAAGAAACUGUAAUAGGCAGUGGAUUGUAUCUCAUCCAGUAGAAGAAAUGCAUUAAAAUACAUGAGGACUUGGAUUU
rnacentral:snRNA from 1 species